UUCAUUCUUCUUUUUUUUUCUUCUUUUCAUCUUCUCUACUCUCAUCUCUCCCACCGAUUUUGAAGCCUCGAUUUCGUGUCCACGGCCCUGUUAUCUUCCUCAAGCCUCGAUUUCAUCUCUACCGAUGACGCCGAGAUCUAGUUCCGCCAAUACACAAAGCUGUUCAACUUCCCUCUCAAAGUUUCCUUUUUGGAUUUGCCUCAAAACUGACUCGAUUGAUGUUUCUCUUUUGCUGAACUUCUCGAUUUCAACAAUCUGAUGAAAAAUCUGGUUAUAAAGUUGGUUAUGCUUUUUUUUUAAAUGAGACAAGACCUGGCUGGUUUUCUUAAGGAGAAGAAAAUGGAGAUGUGUCGGAGAAGACUGGUUUCAAGCUCGCCGCCAGCAUGAUGAAGAUCAGGUUCUCAAUCGGACUCGGAUUAGGCAUCGCUGCUCUCCUUCUCGUUGGCCUCUUCUUUCUUCCUAAGUCUUUGGAUUCUCAUGGACAUUGACAGAAGCCGAGAAGCCAGAAGAUAUCUUUCAGGUCGAUAAAGGCAAAGCUUCAUGGAGAGGUAGAGGCUAAGUCCCUUGGUGCUCCUGGAACCUGUGUUGCUGAAUUGGUAUUUAACACUUCCUUGACAGGUUAGAGGCGUGGAUCUUAGAUGGAGUUGGAGUCGAGCAAGAUGGAAGAGAGGAGAUGGAUUUGGUUCAGAAGCUAGGGAAGAGAGAUAGAUGAGAAGCUUGAUGGUGGUGGAAGAGCAAAAAUGUUAGGGAUGAUUGUGAAGGGUUAUUAGUGGUAGAUUGAUAAUAUGUUUGUUAGAUUUUGAUGGUUUAGGUAAACAGGGAAAUGUUUUAUGGUUUUGUAAACAUUUUCUUUUUUAGUUUUUAUAAAAUGAUUAAUUAUUUUAAUUACAAAUAUUCGAAA